GACAGAGGGGGCAAGCGUUGCUCGGAAUCACUGGGCGUAAAGGGCGCGUAGGCGGGAUGGCAAGUCAGUCGUGAAAUCUCUCGGCUCAACCGAGAAACGUCGGCUGAUACUGCCGUUCUUGAGGGAUGCAGAGGAGACUGGAAUUCCCGGUGUAGCGGUGAAAUGUGUAGAGAUCGGGAAGAACACCAAAGGCGAAGGCACCAUCCUGGGGAGUCACUGACGCUCGGGUGCGAAAGCUAGGGGAGCGAACGGG
rnacentral:rRNA from 1 species